rnacentral:rRNA from 1 species
UACGAAGGGGGCUAGCGUUACUCGGAAUGACUGGGCGUAAAGGGCGCGUAGGCGGUUCAUUUAGUUAGGCGUGAAAUUCCUGGGCUCAACCUGGGGGCUGCGCUUAAUACAGGUGGACUGGAGUGUGAAAGAGGGUCGUGGAAUUCCCAGUGUAGAGGUGAAAUUCGUAGAUAUUGGGAAGAACACCGGUGGCGAAGGCGGCGACCUGGUUCAUUACUGACGCUGAGGCGCGAAAGCGUGGGGAGCAAACAGG